CUCGAUGUCGGCUCAUCACAUCCUGGGGCUGAAGUAGGUCCCAAGGGUAUGGCUGUUCGCCAUUUAAAGUGGUACGCGAGCUGGGUUUAGAACGUCGUGAGACAGUUCGGUCCCUAUCUGCCGUGGGCGCUGGAGAACUGAGGGGGGCUGCUCCUAGUACGAGAGGACCGGAGUGGACGCAUCACUGGUGUUCGGGUUGUCAUGCCAAUGGCACUGCCCGGUAGCUAAAUGCGGAAGAGAUAAGUGCUGAAAGCAUCUAAGCACGAAACUUGCCCCGAGAUGAGUUCUCCCUGACCCUUUAAGGGUCCUGAAGGAACGUUGAAGACGACGACGUUGAUAGGCCGGGUGUGUAAGCGCAGCGAUGCGUUGAGCUAACCGGUACUAAUGAACCGUGAGGCUUAACCUUACAACGCCGAAGGUGUUU
rnacentral:rRNA from 1 species